rnacentral:rRNA from 1 species
ACACUCCUGCGGGAGGCAGCAGUGGGGAAUAUUGCACAAUGGGCGCAAGCCUGAUGCAGCCAUGCCGCGUGUAUGAAGAAGGCCUUCGGGUUGUAAAGUACUUUCAGCGGGGAGGAAGGCAAUACGGUUAAUAACCGUGUUGAUUGACGUUACCCGCAGAAGAAGCACCGGCUAACUCCGUGCCAGCAGCCGCGGUAAUACGGAGGGUGCAAGCGUUAAUCGGAAUUACUGGGCGUAAAGCGCACGCAGGCGGUCUGUCAAGUCGGAUGUGAAAUCCCCGGGCUCAACCUGGGAACUGCAUUCGAAACUGGCAGGCUUGAGUCUUGUAGAGGGGGGUAGAAUUCCAGGUGUAGCGGUGAAAUGCGUAGAGAUCUGGAGGAAUACCGGUGGCGAAGGCGGCCCCCUGGACAAAGACUGACGCUCAGGUGCGAAAGCGUGGGGAGCAAACAGGAUUAGAAACCCGGGUAGUCCCAU